AAGAAUAAAAAAAUCUACUUUGAGAUACAUCAGUAUAUUCUCUGCAUACGAAAAAUUGGAUGCAAAACAUUCUAAUGAGGCAACGAAGAGAAGAGUUAUGGAAUAAAUUGAAGUUAUCAGAGGUCAUAUGGCAUUGAUAUAUAUAUAUAUAUAUACAACUAUUCUAAAUGAGAUUUCAAACAACGUGUUAGAUGAGAAGAAGCAUAUCAUUCUUACAUAUACCAUACCCACAUACACCUGAAAUUCCCAAUGUUAAGAGGGGAGAAAAGUGCAAUACCUCUCUUGUAUCUCGCAAGCGUAGAAGGAGAAAGAGAAAGAUAGGAAAGACGCCAAGUCAAGCCAUGUACUACUAUUGGCCAUACAAUGACGGCACUUACCCAGAAGUUGAAGGUUUGAGUCCUGCUGAAAUGGCCCUAUAUUUUUUUAGGGUAAUGUACUGUGGAAAGGAAAAACACAAAAGAAGAGCUUUUCUUGGAGGACAAAGGAAAAAAAAAAAAAAAGCCAAAACAAGAUAAACAAUACAGGAAAGAGGCAUGGACUAACAACAUUCAAGGGUGCUCAGCAUUCCCCAUUAACAUUUCUAACUAAUCAAAUAUGCUAGCUCUAGAAUGUAAUAAUAUAAACAAGGCAGAAUGCCCAAUUCGCACUAGCACUCGUCUUUUAUUCUAGGCAAGUACUACUACGAAGAAGUCAGAAUUGUAACUACUAAGAAGAAUACCUGCACGACCAUUUGCAGAAGAUGCAUGCAAGUAAUUGAGCUUGAAAUCCAC
rnacentral:lncRNA from 1 species